GGCCGUCUAGCUCAGUUGGUUAGAGCGUCGUGCUAAUAUGAGCCAAGCGAUGCAAAAUUCAUAUAACGCGAAGGUCUUGGGUUCGACCCCCACGAUGGCCA